rnacentral:misc_RNA from 1 species
ACAAGCAUAUGACUACUGGCAGGAUCAACCAGGUAGCAUUCCAUGUCGACUUUUGGCACUGCAUGGACGAAUCCAAAACAACACCAAAUGUCGUUCGCACACAGCGUGGGACACUUUUUUAGGGGCAAAUAGAGACCGAUUAUGUCUCGUACCCAUGAGGUACUCCAUGACCGAGAGAUCGAACGUGAUGCAACUGAUCCAACAAUCGACGAGCUUUGAUACAUGAGGGUUGUUGGAUCAUGGCAUUCGCUUCGAUGUUCGCCUAGUAUCACGAACACAAGGGCUCACAACUUAAGGCGAAAGAGGGCCUGUAAUCCAACGAAUUCCCAAACUUUGGGUACGCAACACAAGAAACCGAGCUCGGACAAGAUGUUUUUCCCACUCUUGAACCAACCGUUGAAAAGGAAUGAUCGAUACAUUUUCGCUGCACAAGCAGGGACUAAACAUACCAAUACACACCAA